AAAUUAUUUUACGCGUCCCUAAACUUGAAUACUUGUUUGUUGAUGGAGUAUUGUGCUCGCUUUUUGAAAUGGAAGAUAUGCCGUCUUUGGUUGUGGCAUCGAUUGCAUGUUGGCAAAGUAUAUAUGAUUUCCCGUGGGCUGAUAUACUAAACAAACUAAGAGGGGUUCAAAAUCUUUCAAUAGAAAAUUUCCCAUUCACUUCACCUCUGCCCAUCUUUCCGAAUAUGAAGCAAUUGGAGUUGACUGGUAUAUGGCAAUCUGGACAAAUCAUUCAGUUUCUUGAGAGUUGUCCUGAGUUGAAGAUUUUGUGUAUUGAUUUUGUAGAGUG